GACGAACGCUGGCGGCGUGCUUAACACAUGCAAGUCGAACGAAGUGGCGAACGGGUGAGUAACGCGUACUCAACCUGCCCUUCAGAGGGGGACAACAGUUGGACACGACUGCUAAUACCGCAUACUGAGGGAGGGGAGUGCGUCUGAAUCGCUGGUUGGAGGGGUAACGGCCCACCAAGGCGAUGAUCAGUAGCCGGUCGGAGAGGAUGAACGGCCAACUUGGGACUGAGACACGGCCCAGACUCCUACGGGAGGCAGCAGUGGGGAAUCUGCCGCAAUGGACGAAAGUCUGACGGAGCAACGCCGCGGGAGUGAUGACGGCCUUCCGGUUGUAAAGCUCUGUUAAUCGGGACGCGGUACCGGAAUAGAAAGCCACGGCUAACUACGUGCCAGCAGCCGCGGUAAUUC
rnacentral:rRNA from 1 species